rnacentral:rRNA from 1 species
AUUGAACGCUGGCGGCAUGCCUUACACAUGCAAGUCGAACGGCAGCACGGGGCAACCUGGUGGCGAGUGGCGAACGGGUGAGUAAUACAUCGGAACGUGCCCAAUCGUGGGGGAUAACGUAGCGAAAGUUACGCUAAUACCGCAUACGAUCUACGGAUGAAAGCGGGGGAUCGCAAGACCUCGCGCGAAUGGAGCGGCCGAUGUCAGAUUAGGUAGUUGGUGGGGUAAAGGCUCACCAAGCCAACGAUCUGUAGCUGGUCUGAGAGGACGACCAGCCACACUGGAACUGAGACACGGUCCAGACUCCUACGGGAGGCAGCAGUGGGGAAUUUUGGACAAUGGGCGCAAGCCUGAUCCAGCCAUUCCGCGUGCAGGAUGAAGGCC